rnacentral:rRNA from 1 species
UACAGAGGGUGCGAGCGUUGUCCGGAAUCACUGGGCGUAAAGGGCGCGUAGGUGGCGACCCAAGUCGAUGGUGAAAGCUCGCCGCUCAACGGCGAGUCGGCCACCGAUACUGGGUUGCUCGAGCACUGUAGAGGCUAAUGGAAUUCCGGGUGUAGCGGUGGAAUGCGUAGAGAUCGGGAGGAACACCUGAGGCGAAGGCGGGCUACUGGGCCGAUACUGACGCUGAUGCGCGAAAGCCAGGGGAGCGAACGGG